rnacentral:rRNA from 1 species
AACCUCCGCAAUGUGAGAAAUCGCGACGGGGGGAUCCCAAGUGCCAUUCUUAACGGGAUGGCUUUUCUUAAGUGUAAAAAGCUUUUGGAAUAAGAGCUGGGCAAGACCGGUGCCAGCCGCCGCGGUAACACCGGCAGCUCUAGUGGUAGCUGUUUUUAUUGGGCCUAAAGCGUUCGUAGCCGGUUUGAUAAGUCACUGGUGAAAUCCUGUAGCUUAACUGUGGGAAUUGCUGGUGAUACUGUUGAACUUGAGGUCGGGAGAGGUUAGCGGUACUCCCAGGGUAGAGGUGAAAUUCUGUAAUCCUGGGAGGACACCUGUGGCGAAGGCGGCUAACUGGAACGAACCUGACGGUGAGGGACGAAAGCUAGGGGCGCGAACCGGAUUAGAUACCCGGGUAGUCCUAGCCGUAAACGAUGCGGACUUGGUGUUGGGAUGGCUUUGAGCCGCUCCGGUGCCGAAGGGAAGCUGUUAAGUCCGCCGCCUGGGAGUACGGUCGCAAGACUGAAACUUAAAGGAAUU